rnacentral:rRNA from 1 species
UACGAAGGGGGCUAGCGUUGUUCGGAAUUACUGGGCGUAAAGGGCGCGUAGGCGGUACUUCAAGUCAGGCGUGAAAGCCCCGGGCUCAACCUGGGAACCGCGCUUGAGACUGGAGAACUAGAGUUCGGGAGAGGAUGGUGGAAUUCCCAGUGUAGAGGUGAAAUUCGUAGAUAUUGGGAAGAACACCGAUGGCGGAGGCAGCCAUCUGGACCGACACUGACGCUGAGGCGCGAAAGCGUGGGGAGCAAACAGG